CUAAGUAAGUGAGUAAUCGCCCCCGCCUUUGGCGGGGGAGGAAAGUCCGAACACGUAGGUUGAAUGGAAUUCUCAUGAGUUCAUGCAACCUUAAGUAGCGGGUAACACCCGUCAUGAGCGAUCAAGGGAUGCGAACAGUGACGUCUCGAUCCGAGAGGAUCGUGGGCGCCCAGUCGAAUGACUGGGCGGAAUUCUGCAGUAAUGCAGAAAGUGAAACGGCUAAAUUCCUACUUAACAGUGCAACGUCAAAUAGGUCCCGACAAGUCGGGACGGGUUGAUGGCUUGAGCCCAAUAGUAAUGUUGGGCCUAGAGAGAUGAUUACUUCCCUCGAGUAAUAUCGGGGUCAGACAAAAUUCGGCUUACAACUUGCUUAGAAAG
rnacentral:RNase_P_RNA from 3 species